rnacentral:lncRNA from 1 species
UACCUACGACAUCUUGUGCCUAUGGCAUCUUAUGCUCUUCUCAUCUUCACACGAGAGGCAGUAUGUGCCUGCAUCUUGUGCCCUCUUCGAUGGUGUUAUGAGGUUCUAGUUAGUUAACCCUUGAUUGCUAUCAUAGGUAAUCAAAAAAUAAACCUAAUUCACUGCUAUAUAGAUAGUGUGAGUCAGGAUCGUAUCUACAG